CUCUGGGCGGUGAAAAGGUUAACACAGUUGGCUGCUAACCAAAAUACUGAAGGUUCAAGCCCACCCAGAGG
rnacentral:tRNA from 1 species